AGAGUUUGAUCCUGGCUUAGGAUGAACGCUAGCUACAGGCUUAACACAUGCAAGUCGAGGGGCAGCAUUAAGUCAGCUUGCUGAUUAGAUGGCGACCGGCGCACGGGUGAGUAACGCGUAUCCAACCUGCCCCCUACCCGGGGAUAGCCUUGCGAAAGUAAGAUUAAUACCCGGUGCUGUUGCGAUCCCGCAUGGGGAUGCAACGAAAGAUUCAUCGGUAGGGGAUGGGGAUGCGUCCGAUUAGCUUGUUGGCGGGGUAACGGCCCACCAAGGCGACGAUCGGUAGGGGUUCUGAGAGGAAGGUCCCCCCACAUUGGAACUGAGACACGGUCCAAACUCCUACGGGAGGCAGCAGUGAGGAAUAUUGGUCAAUGGGCGAGAGCCUGAACCAGCCCAAGUAGCGUGAAGGAAGACUGCCCUACGGGUUGUAAACUUCUUUUGUACGGGAAUAAAGUGAGGCUCGUGAGCCUUUUUGCAUGUACCGUACGAAUAAGGACCGGCUAAUUCCGUGCCAGCCGCCGC
rnacentral:rRNA from 1 species